CCUACGGGGGGCAGCAGUAGGGAAUCUUUCACAAUGGGCGAAAGCCUGAUGGAGCAACGCCGCGUGCAGGAUGAAGGCCUUCGGGUUGUAAACUGCUUUUAUAAGCGAGAAAUAUGAUGGUAACUUAUGAAUAAGGAUCGGCUAACUACGUGCCAGCAGCCGCGGUCAUACGUAGGAUCCGAGCAUUAUCCGGAGUGACUGGGUGUAAAGAGUUGCGUAGGUGGCAUAAUAAGUAGCUAGUGAAAUCUGGUGGCUCAACCAUUCAGACUAUUAGCUAAACUGUUAAGCUCGAGACCGUUAGGGGUAACUGGAAUUUCUAGUGUAGGAGUGAAAUCCGUAGAUAUUAGAAAGAACACCAAUAGCGUAGGCAGGUUGCUGGGACGGUUCUGACACUAAGGCACGAAAGCGUAGGGAGCAAACGGGAUUAGAUACCCGAGUAGUC
rnacentral:rRNA from 1 species